rnacentral:rRNA from 1 species
GAUGAACGCUGGCGGCGUGCCUAAUACAUGCAAGUCGAGCGAACGGACGAGAAGCUUGCUUUUCUGAUGUUAGCGGCGGACGGGUGAGUAACACGUGGAUAACCUACCUAUAAGACUGGGAUAACUUCGGGAAACCGGAGCUAAUACCGGAUAAUAUUUUGAACCGCAUGGUUCAAAAGUGAAAGACGGUCUUGCUGUCACUUAUAGAUGGAUCCGCGCUGCAUUAGCUAGUUGGUAAGGUAACGGCUUACCAAGGCAACGAUGCAUAGCCGACCUGAGAGGGUGAUCGGCCACACUGGAACUGAGACACGGUCCAGACUCCUACGGGAGGCAGCAGUAGGGAAUCUUCCGCAAUGGGCGAAAGCCUGACGGAGCAACGCCGCGUGAGUGAUGAAGGUCUUCGGAUCGUAAAACACUGUUAUUAGGGAAGAACAUAUGUGUAAGUAACUGUGCACAUCUUGACGGUACCUAAUCAGAAAGCCACGGCUAACUACGUG